AGAAAGCGGGGGAUCGCAAGACCUCGCGCGAUUGGAGCGGCCGAUGUCUGAUUAGCUAGUUGGUGGGGUAAAGGCUCACCAAGGCGACGAUCAGUAGCUGGUCUGAGAGGACGACCAGCCACACUGGGACUGAGACACGGCCCAGACUCCUACGGGAGGCAGCAGUGGGGAAUUUUGGACAAUGGGCGAAAGCCUGAUCCAGCCAUUCCGCGUGAGUGAAGAAGGCCUUCGGGUUGUAAAGCUCUUUCGGCAGGAACGAAACGGUGUGGGCUAAUAUCCUGCAUCAAUGACGGUACCUGAAGAAGAAGCACCGGCUAACUACGUGCCAGCAGCCGCGGUAAUACGUAGGGUGCGAGCGUUAAUCGGAAUUACUGGGCGUAAAGCGUGCGCAGGCGGUUGUUUAAGACAGAUGUGAAAUCCCCGGGCUCAACCUGGGAACUGCGUUUGUGACUGGACAGCUGGAGUGCGGAAGAGGGGGGUGGAAUUCCACGUGUAGCAGUGAAAUGCGUAGAG
rnacentral:rRNA from 1 species